GAUGAACGCUGGCGGCGUGCCUAAUACAUGCAAGUCGAGCGAACGGACGAGAAGCUUGCUUCUCUGAUGUUAGCGGCGGACGGGUGAGUAACACGUGGAUAACCUACCUAUAUGACUGGGAUAACAUCGGGAAACCGGAGCUAAUACCGGACAAUCUUUUGAAUCGCAUGGUUCAAAAGUGAAAGACGGUCUUGCUGUCACUUAUAGAUGGAUCCGCGCUGCAUUAGCUAGUUGGUAAGGUAACGGCUUACCAAGGCAUCGAUGAAUAGCCGACCCAGGAGAGGAAUCGGCCACACGGGAACUAGGACACGGUCCAGACUCCAACGGGAGGAGGCGGUAGGAAAUCUUCGGAAAUGGGCGAAAGCCUGCCGGAGCAACGCGGCGUGAGUGAUAAAGGUCUUCGGUUCGUAAGACUCGGUUAUUAGGGAAAAACAUAUGUGUAAGUAACGGUACACAGCUUGACGGUACCUAAUCAGAAAGCCACGGCUAACUACGUG
rnacentral:rRNA from 1 species